CCCAGACUCCUACGGGAGGCAGCAGUAGGGAAUUUUCGUCAAUGGGCGCAAGCCUGAACGAGCAAUGCCGCGUGAGUGAGGAAGGUCUUCGGAUCGUAAAGCUCUGUUGCAGGUCAGAAAAGAAGGAAAGAGGAAAUGCUUUUCUUUUGAUAGUAACCUGCCAGAAAGUCACGGCUAACUACGUGCCAGCAGCCGCGGUAAUACGGGGGGUGCAAGCGUUGUCCGGAAUCAUUGGGCGUAAAGCGUUCGUAGGCGGUAAAGUAAGUCAGAUGUUAAAGCCCGGGGCUCAACUCCGGUUCGGCAUUUGAUACUACUUGACUAGAAUGCGGUAGAGAUAAAGGGAAUUCCUGGUGUAGCGGUGAAAUGCGUAGAUAUCAGGAGGAACAUCGGUGGCGAAAGCGCUUUACUGGGCCGUUAUUGACGCUGAGGAACGAAAGCCAGGGUAGCAAACGGGAUUAGAUACCCCCGUA
rnacentral:rRNA from 1 species